rnacentral:rRNA from 1 species
AUUGAACGCUGGCGGCAGGCCUAACACAUGCAAGUCGAAUGGUAACAGGAAACAGCUUGCUGUUUCGCUGACGAGUGGCGGACGGGUGAGUAAUGUCUGGGAAACUGCCUGUUGGAGGGGGAUAACUACUGGAAACGGUAGCUAAUACCGCAUAACGUCGCAAGACCAAAGAGGAGGAACUUCGGGCCUCUUGCCAUCAGAUGUGCCCAGAUGGUAUUAGCUAGUAGGUGGGGUAACGGCUCACCUUGGCGACGAUCCCUAGCUGGUCUGAGAGGAUGACCAGCGUAGCUGGAUUGAGAGAGCGUACCAGACUACUACGGCAGGGACAAGUGGGAAAUAUCGACGAAUGGGCGCAAGCGGGAUGCAGCCAUGCUGCGUGUAUGAAGAAGGCAUUCGGGUUGUAAAGUACUUUCAGCGGGGAGGAAGGGAGUAAAGUUAAUACCUGUGCUCAUUGACGUUACCAGCAGAAGAAGCACCGGCUAACUCCGUG